rnacentral:rRNA from 1 species
AUUGAACGCUGGCGGCAGGCCUAACACAUGCAAGUCGAGCGGAGCGGCGGACGCGUGAGUAAUGCCUAGGAAUCUGCCUGGUCGUGGGGGAUAACGUUCGGAAACGGGCGCUAAUACCGCAUACUAUCAGAUGAGCCUAGGUCGGAGUAGCUAGCUGGUGGGGUAAAGGCCUACCAAGGCGACGAUCCGUAACUGGUCUGAGAGGAUGAUCAGUCACACUGGAACUUAGACACGGUCCAGACUCCUACGGGAGGCAGCAGUGGGGAAUAUUGGACAAUGGGCGAAAGCCUGAUCCAGCCAUGCCGCGUGUGUGAAGAAGGCCUUCGGGUUGUAAAGCACUUUCAGCGGGGAGGCGUUACCCGCAGAAGAAGCACCGGCUAACUCCGUGCCAGCAGCCGCGGUAAUUC